rnacentral:lncRNA from 1 species
GUGAGGGGGGACGCCCUGAGGGGACGCCGAGGCCUCGCGUCCCUCGUGCCGAGAUUACAGCUGGAGGAAUUCUAAACAACCCGAGCCUCCUUGUCGUGGUGUUUAAGUGCAUUGUGCUCCUGUCUGAGCAGAGGAAAUCGCUGAGAGGUAUUUUGUACCGUCAGAAGGCUGUAUUUAUAAGUGGGAGAUGGUGCUGGAGCCCAUUUAUCCAACCUUCACUUCUACCUCUAAAUGAGCAGACGGUUCUACUGGGGAUUCUUUAACCUGGGGUAAGGAGACGUGAGGAAUGCUGAGAACAGAGGGUGACUGUAACAGUUGUGGACCACAUCUUGUGUUAUACAAACGUGUCACGCCGUGGUCUGAUACUUUGCCUUCUCAAAUCCCACGAGGAAAAGCAAGACAAAUGUGGCUCGCUUCAAACAUAUGUUGUUGUAAGUAUUGGGGAAGGCAAACUAAAGAUUUAUCUGAUUAUCUCAACCUUGAAGUUGGCAGCGAUGACAGGAAACUUGGUUUUAUUCAUCUGCCAAAGAUAUUUGUAGCGUAUCGUUUGACAAGUUAAAAGGCAUUUUUGGAAUGGCACAAAAAUAAAGCUGUCCACUUCCUGAAACUGGAGUUUCUGUCUUUUGGGAAAUACUAUGGGUUUGGAGAUGUGCUUCUGGGGAAAGGAAACCUAACUGUUUAUGUUUUCAACAACAGUAUUUAAUACGAAUCUAUUCAGCAUCGUCUGUGAAGUUGCUUUUGUCUUGGAUUUGUUAAAUUAGUGGGCAUUGUUUGGUUUCUGCAGGCUAAGUGGAACAGCAAGGAGUGAUCUGCCCAUGGAGCCAUAAAGUGGAAUUAAGGAUCAAGUUCUUCUGAAUCUUGGUCUUGUACUUCUUCCUACAGCCAAGGUGGCUGUCAGCAAUUGUCCUGUUGUGAUACACUAAUGCUGGGAUGCACUUCCAGAAUACCAGUUCAGCCUUGGCCUUGAGGAAUAAGUGAUGGAAGGAAACAGCACAGGAGGAGGCUCUGUCUUGGUUCUGGUCUUUGGAUGGAUGGAUAAGGAGAGGUCUGUGGCACAGAGGGGUGAAAGGUGACUAAGAGUGUGAAACUUGCAAAAAACUCAUUAUAAUCAUGCAAUCUUCAGGUGGUUUUCUUUCUCUGGAAGAAGCCACCUCGUGUCAGUUGGCCUGCUGGCAGUUGUUGCUCACCCGGAUAGAAGUAUUAAACAGUUAUUUCUCUGCUUAGAAAGUUUAAUACAACGUCAUAGCAGUGAGGCUACAACACUACAUAUUGUUUUCUUCUUUCAUAGUUUUGUGUCCAUGCUCACAAAGCUCUCGUGAACAAGCUCUGUUGAAUUUUGCUGUGGCUCUUUGAGGUGUUGCUGGUCUAGUCCUGCUCCACGGCUUGCUUCCCCAUAGCAGAGCCAGCAGAAAGGUUUACUCUGUGAUUGGUCCAGGGCAGCAUCCCCCAGAAGAGCAGCUUGCUGGAGGUGAUGAUUUAAACCACUGAGCAUGUUUCCUAGGAGGACUCUUACUUUCCUAAUUAGCAUGCCUGCUUUUCCAGUGAGCUGCAGUGAAUGGCUUCCCCAUUGACCCAGUGGAUCCCAGUCUUGCAUUUUACAAGCAAAACGACAUGAUGUUGUAAAUGUACUCCUUGGAACUGAUUCUCCUCAUAACCUGUAAAACUGUUGUGAAAAUAUGGCCCUGUCCCUCAGCAGUUCUGCAGUCACCUCUCUGAGACGCUGUGUUUCACUCUUGAAUCAAAUUUUAGACCAGAAAAAGGGUUAGGCUGCAUGCAGAUUAACAGAUCUGUUGCUUGUAUCUCUGGCUACUGCAGCAUGACUCACCCAUCAGCGCCUGUCAGCAGCUGUGUGACCUCAUUGGAAGCUUCAACAUCUCCUGUGUGAAGGUAGCUCGUAAUCCAGAGUAGGAAUCCUGGCCCUCACCACUGCUCUCCGCUUUUGACAUGGAACGGGCAGACACCAUUUGUGACCGUGCGAAUAUCCUGAGUCACACACUACCAGCUGGCUUUUGUGCUGCAGUUUUCCCUUCUCCCUUUACGACUGCACUCCCUAGAGGAGACCUGAACAAUUGCACUCGUCAGCAGAAGCGCAUGGUGUGCCGUGCCUGGAUGGCACCAUUGGUGGACGACCUCUGGCUGUGUCUGUGGGAUCCAGUUGAUUUGGCUUCUGCUCUGCCUGGGCUUUGCACCUGCUACAGCCCCAGCAAACUUGGCAGCAACCCUUCGGCUCUGCAGAGAAAACAACUGUCUAGACCAGGAACCUUCUGCCUGAUGCCCUGGAUGGACCCCAGGCACUAAUCUGCAUCCACAACGGCGCGUUGUUGUGUGAGUGGUUCCUCUCUGCUCUCCCUUCUGCCUCUGCAGAAUCACAUGUGCUGAUUUCUCAGCAGGUGCUGGCCUAAUGCGUAUUGAUCUCCUGCACAGGUCUGUUGCAAAAGAUGGAUAAAAUCUUUGUGGACUCCUAAUUGCACCUUUAGCCUCCUGCUGUUCUGCAUUUAUGAUCUGAUCUGCACGCUGAGUCAACGUCGCUGUAACGACAUGGAUGGAGGGCAGAGGUCCGCAGGUUUGCUUUGAGGAAGCCCCAUAAACAGGGUAAUAGCACCAGAGUUACUGUUCUCUCGAACUAAAGGGAGAGAAAGUAAGCUGCCAAUCAAAAAGAACAUCUCGUGGCACAGGCAGAUGUUUCUGAUGGCGAUGCCGGAGCCAGCAGAACCCCUGCAGCAGCGCAGCCCCAUGGUGCUGGAGGCCCUUCCAGACUGGAGGUGUGGCGGUGGUCUGCAUGUCAGCAGAGCAGUCCCAGCAGCGUUCAGCAUGGAUGAGGUAUUGAACGCAUCCCUGUGCCUCUGGGGGGCAACGUGGCUUCUGCUGACGUGUGAACGCUCUGCUUGGCAGCCUGGUGCGGCACAUCACAGCUCAGAUGGGUUCUCCCAGGCGGCUGUGCAGCACAGAACUAAUACAUGGAAUACAGGCUCAGCACCGUGAGUCAGCACUGCCGGAGCCCAGACUUGUUUGCAGCAGCAGCGAGGCGGUGCGGGAGGUGUGGGCUGCGGGAGCCCUUCUGCCCAAACGCCAUCCGGGAUGAAAUGGGGCUAACAGGGAGCAAAAGGCUGAACGGUGCUCGUGGACUCGUUCUGCACCGACCUGCCAGUCUGCAGGCCCCAAAAAUACAGGCACGGCCCAAAGGUUUCUAUUCAGGGCCCAGCAGUGGAAUAAGGAACAUGAGCCGUGGGAUAUCCCGUGUCACCGCAGGCUGCUCAGCCUGGAAGGGGCUGGUGGCAAAGGGAGGAAACGUCAGAAACGCCAUGGACUAUUUUAGAUCUGCAACCUCAGUUCUGCAAAGGACAGCCUGCUGAUGUGCCACGCUCAGCGAGCAGCGGGGAGGAACCCCACGGCAGGAAGAGAGGUUUGCAAGUUUCCCUUUCCCAUAGAGCACAUCCCAAACUGCUGCACGACAGCAUGCUGUGCAGUGCUGUGCUGCGUGGUGUCCUGUCAGCCUGCUGGGAGGACACGGAGUGCUCCAGCAGUGGGCAAUGUGGGAGCAGGCUGUGAGCUGCACAGCCCAGCAUACAGCACGGUGUGAGGCUGGAACUCCCAGUGCCCUCAGCACGUCUCCGUGCUGCGUCCCUGGCUGUGCAGCUAGGCCUGGAGGGCCCGGGGCUGUGAGCUCAUGGGUUUCUAUUUAUGCUUUCAUCUGGUUUUGCCUGCUUUGGACGGUUAACGUAACGCACACGCAGGGUGGUGCUUCAAGGAGACAAACAGUUGCUUCAUCUCCCUGUACAGACAGCCCUCUGCCCUUUGCGUUUCGAUUCCCGGUGUCUGUGUGUGUGGAGGUGAUUUGUCCAUAAUUGUUUGCUUUCUCCGGAGUCCUUUGAAGCGCCUGUCUCCCAACCGGUCCCCUCUUAAGAAUAAAUGCUUCCAAGCCGCCAAUAACACGUGAGCCAUGAUUACAGCCCGGCUCCUCGCUGAGGGCCGUGAGGUCACCGAGGCAGCGCAGUGGGAACGGUUUUGCCUUCUGUGUGUGGGGUUGGGCAGAAGGACCCCCUGUGCUGCAG